CAGUAGCCGCGGUAACACGUAGGUGGCAAGCGUUGUCCGGAAUUAUUGGGCAUAAAGGGCAUCUAGGCGGCCUGACAAGUCAGGGGUGAAAACCUGCGGCUCAACCGCAGGCCUGCCUUUGAAACUGUGAGGCUGGAGUACCGGAGAGGUGGACGGAACUGUACGAGUAGAGGUGAAAUUCGUAGAUAUGUGCAGGAAUGCCGAUGAUGAAGAUAGUUCACUGGACGGUAACUGACGCUGAAGUGCGAAAGCCGGGGGAGCGAACAGGAUUAGAUACCCUUGUAGUCCCUGUCUCUUAUAC
rnacentral:rRNA from 1 species